UUUAAAUUGAGGUAAAACUGAUUAUAUAUGAAAUGGAUAGAAAUUUAAAUAGUGAUUGAUAAGGACCGACAACGAAACAAGCGUCGAGUUAAUAGACAAAGAUUGAGUAAAUAUAUUGAGAAAUGGCUAUUUGUCAGAGUUGGUUGUUAUUUGUGAAAGAAAAGAGAAAAUCCUUACGGCAACAGUAAGAAGUGAGAACCAAAAGGAGAAACACUGUAGUAGAUAAAUUAAAAGAAAAAAUAG
rnacentral:lncRNA from 1 species